CCUACGGGAGGCUGCAGUGGGGAAUAUUGCACAAUGGGCGCAAGCCUGAUGCAGCCAUGCCGCGUGUGUGAAGAAGGCCUUCGGGUUGUAAAGCACUUUCAGCGGGGAGGAAGGCGGUGAGGUUAAUAACCUCAUCGAUUGACGUUACCCGCAGAAGAAGCACCGGCUAACUCCGUGCCAGCAGCCGCGGUAAUACGGAGGGUGCAAGCGUUAAUCGGAAUUACUGGGCGUAAAGCGCACGCAGGCGGUCUGUCAAGUCGGAUGUGAAAUCCCCGGGCUCAACCUGGGAACUGCAUUCGAAACUGGCAGGCUAGAGUCUUGUAGAGGGGGAUAGAAUUCCAGGUGUAGCGGUGAAAUGCGUAGAGAUCUGGAGGAAUACCGGUGGCGAAGGCGGCCCCCUGGACAAAGACUGACGCUCAGGUGCGAAAGCGUGGGGAGCAAACAGGAUUAGAUACCCUUGUAGUC
rnacentral:rRNA from 1 species